AACAUCCUCAUAAAGAAGUGCUGCUUGUAGCUGGAACUUCAAUGUGGACCAUCUUUGAUUUGAAGAAAAUCACAUUUAGGAAGUGUUUGUCUCACUAUGACUGGAAUAUUUAUCUUAAGAAGAGGCAUGACAGGAGGAAGACGUGUUUGGAUUCAGAAAUACAGCCCUCUAAUGAGAUGGAAAGGUGUGCCCUACUUUAUGUGCCUGUUUGCCUGAGGUCUUGAUACACUGUGUAAAAGGGAGUUGAUGAGGCAGCUGACUUCUCCAAAGAGCUGUGGCAGAUGGAACAUACAGCCAGGAUUUCCAGUCCACUGAGCCACAGAACACAGGAGAGCUCCACUCUGAAUGUGUGGCAUGAAGAGGUGGAUUGUCAAUAUGUUAAUUAAUUAAUAUACCUGCUGACUUGGAGAUGGAUGCUGGGGAAAUCCCAGGCUGGCCUGGGUUGGAAGGGAACUUUAAAGAUCCUCAAAUCCACUCCCCUGCUAUGGGCAGAGCCACCUUUCACUACACCAGCAGCUCAAAGGUCUGUGAUGAAAACAAAAAGGUUUCUGGGGUUUUGUUGUUGGAUAUUUUUGAAGCCAGGCAAGAGUAAAAGGAGAGUGAUGGUGUCAACACCAAGGUCUGUGCAAGUGAGUCAAAGUGCCGCACUUAUUUCUCAUGAAAAAGCCAUUGGACACAAG
rnacentral:lncRNA from 1 species